rnacentral:rRNA from 1 species
GGGCGUGCCUACACAUGCAGUCGAACGAGCUUGAUUCUUCGGAAAAAGGCUAGUGGCGCACGGGUGAGUAACACGUGGGUGACCUGCCCCAGAGUGGGGAAUAACUCCUCGAAAGAGGGGCUAAUACCGCAUAAGCUCAGUCAUUCGGUUGAUUGAGUAAAGCUCCGGCGCUCUGGGAGGGGCCCGCGGCCGAUUAGCUAGUUGGUGGGGUAAUGGCCUACCAAGGCGAUAAUCGGUAGCUGGUCUGAGAGGACGAUCAGUCACACUGGCACUGACACACGGGCCAGACUCCUACGGGAGGCAGCAGUGAGGAAUAUUGCGCAAUGGGCGAAAGCCUGACGCAGCAACGCUGCGUGGAGGAUGAAGGCCUUCGGGUUGUAAACUCCUUUUCUGGGGGAAGAGACAAGGACGGUACCCCAGGAAUAAGUCUCGGCUAACUACGUGCCAGCAGCCGCGGUAAAACGUAGGAGGCUAGCGUUAUCCGGAUUUACUGGGCGUAAAGCGCACGCAGGCGGUUGUGUAAGUCGGACGUGAAAGCUCUCGGCUCAACCGGGAGAGGUCGUUCGAUACUGCGCAGCUUGAGGUUGGGAGAGGGGAGCGGAAUUCCCGGUGUAGUGGUGGAAUGCGUAGAUAUCGGGAGGAGCACCAGUGGCGAAAGCGGCUCCCUGGCCCACACCUGACGCUCAGGUGCGAAAGCGUGGGUAGCGAACGGGAUUAGAUACCCCGGUAGUCCACGCUGUAAACGAUGCGAACUAUGUGUUGGUGGUAUUGACCCUGCCAGUGCCGAAGCUAACGCGAUAAGUUCGCCGCCUGGGGACUACGGCCGCAAGGCUAAAACUCAAAGGAAUUUGACGGGGGCCCGCACAAGCAGCGGAGCGUGGGGUUUAAUUCGAUGCAACGCGAAGAACCUUACCUGGCUUGACAUGUCGUAGUAGUGAACCGAAAGGGAACGAGCCUUCGGGCAGCGAUCACAGUGCUGCAUGCUGUCGUCAGCUCGUGUCGUGAGAUGUUGGGUUAAGUCCCGCACGGGGCGCAACCCUUGCCGCUAGUUAAAU